rnacentral:rRNA from 1 species
GGAUCAUACCAAUAUAAACGGCUGAAUCCUUGGGUACAGCCUUGCUAAUUAUUCACCCGUGUCUUUUGCGUACUUCUUGUUUCCUUGGGGGUUCGCCCACCAUAGGACAAACCAUUAAACCUUUUGUAAUUGCAAUCAGCGUCAGUAAAAAAAUUAAUAAUUACAACUUUUAACAACGGAUCUCUUGGUUCUGGCAUCGAUGAAGAACGCAAGCGAAAUGCGAUAAGUAGUGUGAAUUGCAGAAUUCAGUGAAUCAUCGAAUCUUUGAACAGCACAUUGCGCCCUUUGGUAUUCCAAAGGGCAUGCCUGUUCGAGCGUCAUUUGACCCUCAAGCUUUGCUUGGUGUUGGGCGUCUUGUCUCCAGUUCGCUGGAGACUCGCCUUAAAGUAAUUGGCAGCCGGCCUACUGGUUUCGGAGCGCAGCACAAGUCGCGCUCUCUUCCAGCGAAGGUCAGCAUCCACAAAGCUCUUUUUUCAACUUUUGACCUCGGAUCAGGUAGGGAUACCCGCUGAAC